rnacentral:rRNA from 1 species
UGGGGAAUAUUGCACAAUGGGCGCAAGCCCGAUGCAGCAACGCCGCGUGAGGGAAGACGGUUUUCGGAUUGUAAACCUCUGUCAUUAGUGACGAAGAAGUGACGGUAGCUAAUGAGGAAGCCACGGCUAACUACGUGCCAGCAGCCGCGGUAAUACGUAGGUGGCAAGCGUUAUCCGGAUUUAUUGGGCGUAAAGCGAGCGCAGGCGGUUGCUUAGGUCUGAUGUGAAAGCCUUCGGCUUAACCGAAGAAGUGCAUCGGAAACCGGGCGACUUGAGUGCAGAAGAGGACAGUGGGACUCCAUGUGUAGCGGUGGAAUGCGUAGAUAUAUGGAAGAACACCAGUGGCGAAGGCGGCUGUCUGGUCUGCAACUGACGCUGAGGCUCGAAAGCAUGGGUAGCGAACAGGAUUAGAUACCCUGGUAGU